rnacentral:rRNA from 1 species
GACGAACGCUGGCGGCGCGCUUAACACAUGCAAGUCGAGCGAGAACCAUUCCUUCGGGAAUGGGGACAGCGGCGAACGGGUGAGUAACACGUGGGUAAUCUGCCCUCGAUUCUGGGAUAGCCCGGGGAAACCCGGAUUAAUACCGGAUAGCCUCUCGAGCUUACGAGCUCGUGAGAAAAGGUAGCUUCGGCCUCCGAUCGAGGAUGAGCCCGCGGCGGAUUAGCUUGUUGGUGGGGUAAUGGCCUACCAAGGCGACGAUCCGUAGCUGGUCUGAGAGGACGAUCAGCCACACUGGGACUGAGACACGGCCCAGACUCCUACGGGAGGCAGCAGUGGGGAAUCUUAGACAAUGGGGGCAACCCUGAUCUAGCCAUGCCGCGUGAGUGAUGAAGGCCUUAGGGUUGUAAAGCUCUUUCAGCUGGGAAGAUAAUGACGGUACCAGCAGAAGAAGCCCCGGCUAACUCCGUGCCAGCCGCCGCAGUAAAAC